rnacentral:rRNA from 1 species
GACGAACGCUGGCGGCGUGCUUAACACAUGCAAGUCGAACGGAAAGGCCCUGCUUUUGUGGGGUGCUCGAGUGGCGAACGGGUGAGUAACACGUGAGUAACCUGCCCUUGCCUUUGGGCUAACUUCAGGAAACUGGGGCUCCUACCGGAUAGGCGCUCCUGAUGCAUGGUGGGGGUUGGAAAGUUUCGGCGGUUGGGGACGGACUCGCGGCUUAUCAGCUUGUUGGUGGGGUGGUGGCUUACCAAGGCUUUGACGGGUAGCCGGCCUGAGCGGGUGACCGGCAAAUUGGGGACUGGGUAAGGGCCAGAAUCCCAAGGGGGGGAAGCAGGGGGGAAUAUGGCAAAAGGGGCGGAGGCCUGAGGCAGCAACGCGGGGGGCGGGAGGACGGCUUUCGGUUGGAAAACGGCUUCCGCCUGUGAGGAGGCGGGAGUGACGGUAAUGGGUAAAGAAGCACCGGCUAACUACGUG